rnacentral:rRNA from 1 species
UAACGCGUGAGGAAUCUGCCUCGAAGAGGGGGACAACAGUUGGAAACGACUGCUAAUACCGCAUAAGCCCACGGUGCCGCAUGGCACAGAGGGAAAAGGAGUAAUCCGCUUUGAGAUGGCCUCGCGUCCGAUUAGCUAGUUGGUGAGGUAACGGCCCACCAAGGCGACGAUCGGUAGCCGGACUGAGAGGUUGAACAGCCACGUUGGGACUGAGACACGGCCCAGACUCCUACGGGAGGCAGCAGUGGGGAAUAUUGCACAAUGGGGGAAACCCUGAUGCAGCGACGCCGCGUGGAGGAAGAAGGUCUUCGGAUUGUAAACUCCUGUUGUUGGGGAAGAUAAUGACGGUACCCAACAAGGAAGUGACGGCUAACUACGUGCCAGCAGCCGCGGUAAAACGUAGGUCACGAGCGUUGUCCGGAAUUACUGGGUGUAAAGGGAGCGCAGGCGGGAAGACAAGUUGGAAGUGAAAUCUAUGGGCUCAACCCAUAAACUGCUUUCAAAACUGUUUUUCUUGAGUAGUGCAGAGGUAGGCGGAAUUCCUGGUGUAGCGGUGGAAUGCGUAGAUAUCGGGAGGAACACCAGUGGCGAAGGCGGCCUACUGGGCACCAACUGACGCUGAGGCUCGAAAGUGUGGGUAGCAAACAGGAUUAGAUACCCUGGUAGUCCACACCGUAAACGAUGAUUACUAGGUGU